CUUUAAGUGUUUCAUGCACUGUUUGUUAGUGUGGCUCUCGUAAACUUUAGGAAAAUUACUUGCAUUGUGAUUUGGUGAACCUCUGGAUCUUCUUGGUGACCGAAGGAUCCAUAAAUGAUGCCACAUUU